UCCGGUGGUAAUAGCAGAGGGGAAACACCUCUUCCCAUUCCGAACAGAGUCGUUAAGUCCUCUUACGCCGAUGGUACUGCUUGGGUGACCUUGUGGGAGAGUAGGGAACUGCCGGGA
rnacentral:rRNA from 1 species